AUGAAGAGCAUGGCCCUGAUGACCCGCCUCCUCGUCGUCCUUCUCGGCACUGCAUUGCCGCUCCUCUUCUUCUCCCCUGCAGAGGGUGGCGAGGUGGGCGUGUGCUACGGGAGGGUGGCCACUGACCUGCCGGACCCGGCGUCCGUGGUGCAACUGCUAAAGAAAAACGGCAUCACCAUGGUGAGGAUCUACGACACCGACCCGACGGUGCUGCGCUCGCUGGCCAACACCAAUAUCAAGGUGAUGGUGGAGCUGACCAACGAGGAGCUGCCGCUCGCGGCGGCCGACCAAAAUAAUUUCGCGCUCCAGUGGGUGCAAAGCAACGUGAAGGCCUACUACCCGGCCACGCUCAUCAAUGGCGUGACGAUCGGGAACGAGGUGUUCAAAGAGGCUAGCCAACUAAACUCCCAGCUCGUCCCGGCCAUGAAGAACGUGCAGGCGGCGUUGGCUAAACUUGGCCUGGCGGACGCCAUCAAGGUGACGACGCCCAUCGCGUUCGACGCGCUAAAUCCGUCGUUCCCGCCGUCCGCGGGCACGUUCCGGGACGACAUCGCGCUGUCGGUGAUGAGCCCCAUGGUCGACUUCUUGCAACAGACGGGGUCGUACCUCAUGGUGAACUUCUACCCGUACCUCGCGUACCUGGCUACCCCAGGCAUGUCCAUUAACUACCUCUUGUUCCGCCCCAAUAGUGGCGUGCUUGACACUGGUAGCGGACAAAUGUACUUUAGCCUCUUCGACGCCCAGCUCGACGCAGUCUACUAUGCGAUGGAGAAGCUCCCGUCCUCCAGCAUGCACGUUGGGGGGAUGAGGAAGCUCACGGCAGGAGGUGGAAGCCCAGACGUGCACCAUGGGGAGGAAGGACACCCAAACAAAGGCCACGGUGGCGUAGGAACCCCACAAAACGCCCAAGAUUUCAUGGCUGGUCUCACACGCCAAGUACUGCAGGGUAACUCUGGCACCGCCGCCGCAAACGGACACAGCCCGCUCGCCGCCAGCGCCGUCCGCGGCACCCCGCACCGUCCCAACGCCGAUCUGAACGUGUACAUCUUCGCCCUAUUCAACGAGAACAGCAAGCCCGAAGAUGACCAGGACUUCGGGCUGUUCUACCCGAACCAGCAACCGGUGUACCCGAACCCGAUCGACUUCGUCCAUGGCGGCACCAGCGGCGGGCCCUUGCAGGCAAGCUAUUGCGUGGCGAAUGCGGCGGUCGGGGAUGCGGCAUUGCAGGCGGCGCUGGACUUCGCGUGCGACAACAGGGAUGGCAAGAGGGCAGACUGCAGCGCCAUCCAGCCAGGCCAGCCCUGCUUCGAGCCCGACACCAAGCUCGCGCACGCGUCCUACGCCUUCAACGACUAUUACCAGAAGAACGGCCGGGAUAGAAGCGCCUGCGACUUCAGCGGCGCCGGCACCAUUGUCAACCAGGCACCAUCAGGUGCGUGCGACCCGAGCCCGAGCUGGUGCGUGGCGAACGCGGCGGUGGGCGACACGCGGCUGCAGGCGGCGCUGGACUACGCCUGCGGCCCCGGUGGCGCGAACUGCACAGACAUCCAGCCCGGAGCACGGUGCUUCGACCCCGACACCAAGGUCGCGCAUGCGUCCUUCGCUUUCAACAGCUAUUACCAGCUGCGUGGCAGGGCCACCGGAACGUGCGACUUCGCCGGCGCCGGUACCAUUGUCGGGCAGGCACCAAAGAUCGGCAACUGCGUGCUGCCGUCAACGGCCUGA
rnacentral:rRNA from 1 species